AGAGCAGUAUCUCAUUUCUGAAAACCUGGAUUGUAGCUUUCCCUGGGCUGACUGUCAAAGGAGGUGGUUUUAAAAAGCAAGCCAAACAGGUUUCCAUCCUUUAGGAAGACCCUGGAACGUGCCAGUUGAUUCUGACAAUUUCUCAUGAACAGAAACACCUAGGAAGGGAGAACUGGGCCCGCCUGGCAGGACGACUGAGCAAGUCCUUGGAAAACCAGAGAUAUUAGAGCGGUGAAUCGCGCUGGUCACGUUGGACACCUGCGCGUUAGGAGAUUCUGGAGCCAGAGGGAGAGACCCCAGAAACUCCCCGGUCGGCGACCCAGCCCGAGACGCCUGGGGUCCCAAGGGAAGCUGAACGCCCGGUGGGCUCCCGGGAUGGUUCUUCCGGUUCUUUGUGCCGCCUUCACCCAGUGAAGGAGCCUGUAUCCACCCUGCCCAGUCGCUGUUGGGCUGCUGCGGAGCUUCCGCUGCCAUCUUCGGAUCCUGUGUUCCGCCCGGGGCUCCACCAGGGCAGGGAUGGUGGUGAGGGUCGCUCGUGGGUCCCCUGGCAGGGAGCAGGGUCUGGCACUCACAAGGGCGCACGACUAGGACUUGUCGAAUGAAUCCUUUGUCGCCUUUAGCUUUUAGUCCUUUGAAGAGAGCAGAAUGGGGAAAUGGAGAGAGAACCUGAAAGAGCCCCAAACUCGAGGACCUAUUGCUCCCCAAGAAUAACAUCUUCCAGAACUAGACAGAAAACUAGGCGUCUGGGAACCCUGAAAUCCUUGGAGGAGUAGAUCAUCAUGACCCUCUGUGUUCCUUUUGGCAAAUGACUUGCUUCCAUUGUUUGUUUGUUCAAUUGUCUGUUUGUUAAAUAAAUAAAACCCUUUUCAUGUAUCUUUAAAAUUA
rnacentral:lncRNA from 1 species